UGUUAAAAAAUUGAUUCAUUUCAACUAUUAAAAAAUUGGCAUGGCUGGUAGAAUAACCAAAUAAUGACACAUGUCGUGCCACGUGUACCUCAUGUUGAUGCACAUUAACCAUUUUUUAAUAGUAGAAAUGGAUACAAUUUUUAACA
rfam:Gossypium arboreum cultivar AKA8401 contig_1835_1, whole genome shotgun sequence.